AGGUUUGUAGUUGAAUUACAACAAUGGUUUUUCAGGUCAUAGAUUAUGGUUAGAGUCCAUACUAAAACUA
rfam:Sarcophilus harrisii ctg7180002429300, whole genome shotgun sequence.